rnacentral:rRNA from 1 species
GAUGAACGCUGGCGGCGUGCCUAAUACAUGCAAGUCGAGCGAACAGACGAGGAGCUUGCUCCUCUGACGUUAGCGGCGGACGGGUGAGUAACACGUGGAUAACCUACCUAUAAGACUGGGAUAACUUCGGGAAACCGGAGCUAAUACCGGAUAAUAUAUUGAACCGCAUGGUUCAAUAGUGAAAGACGGUUUUGCUGUCACUUAUAGAUGGAUCCGCGCCGCAUUAGCUAGUUGGUAAGGUAACGGCUUACCAAGGCAACGAUGCGUAGCCGACCUGAGAGGGUGAUCGGCCACACUGGAACUUGGACACGGUCCAGACUCCUACGGGAGGCAGCAGUAGGGAACCUUCCGCAAUGGGCGAAAGCCUUACGGAGCAACGCCGCGUGAGUGACAAAGGUCUUCGGAUCGUAAAACUCUGUUAUUGGUUAAGAACAAAUUUGUAAGUAACUAUGCCCGUCUUGACGGUACCUAAUCAGAAAGCCACGGCUAACUACGUG